AACUCGGAAGAGCAGAGACUGAUUAGACAGCUGCAGUCAGCUACUGAGGAGAGAAAUGAGCUAAGAGAUCUCCUGACUUAUGUGACAGAGAGAUACAGGAACAACAGCAACCUGCCCAGCCGGAUCCAUAUGGACAAGAUAUGUGUGCAGAAGAAGUUGUUCCCAUUCAAGAAGGAGAGCAAAGCGAAACAGCUUGAUUCUGCACCGCUGCUACAGAAAUUUUUGUUUGAUUUGAACAAGAAAGAUAAAGACGAACAGGAGAAAACCAGCAACCUCCAGACUAAGCAACAUCUGGAUAACACCACUUGAGAGACGACUUGGGGACUGCAUUGCCAUUUUGCCUGCUAGAGGAGAAACAGCAAUAUAACUGUGCUUCUAAAUGUUCACUAAGAAUAUGCUGU